rnacentral:rRNA from 1 species
GACGAGAAGCUUGCUUCUCUGAUGUUAGCGGCGGACGGGUGAGUAACACGUGGAUAACCUACCUAUAAGACUGGGAUAACUUCGGGAAACCGGAGCUAAUACCGGAUAAUAUUUUGAACCGCAUGGUUCAAAAGUGAAAGACGGUCUUGCUGUCACUUAUAGAUGGAUCCGCGCUGCAUUAGCUAGUUGGUAAGGUAACGGCUUACCAAGGCAACGAUGCAUAGCCGACCUGAGAGGGUGAUCGGCCACACUGGAACUGAGACACGGUCCAGACUCCUACGGGAGGCAGCAGUAGGGAAUCUUCCGCAAUGGGCGAAAGCCUGACGGAGCAACGCCGCGUGAGUGAUGAAGGUCUUCGGAUCGUAAAACUCUGUUAUUAGGGAAGAACAUAUGUGUAAGUAACUGUGCACAUCUUGACGGUACCUAAUCAGAAAGCCACGGCUAACUACGUGCCAGCAGCCGCGGUAAUACGUAGGUGGCAAGCGUUAUCCGGAAUUAUUGGGCGUAAAGCGCGCGUAGGCGGUUUUUUAAGUCUGAUGUGAAAGCCCACGGCUCAACCGUGGAGGGUCAUUGGAAACUGGAAAACUUGAGUGCAGAAGAGGAAAGUGGAAUUCCAUGUGUAGCGGUGAAAUGCGCAGAGAUAUGGAGGAACACCAGUGGCGAAGGCGACUUUCUGGUCUGUAACUGACGCUGAUGUGCGAAAGCGUGGGGAUCAAACAGGAUUAGAUACCCUGGUAGUCCACGCCGUAAACGAUGAGUGCUAAGUGUUAGGGGGUUUCCGCCCCUUAGUGCUGCAGCUAACGCAUUAAGCACUCCGCCUGGGGAGUACGACCGC